UGUAAACCGCUUUUAUUGGGGAAGAAGGUCUGACGGUACCCAAUGAAUCAGCAUCGGCUAACUCCGUGCCAGCAGCCGCGGUAAUACGGAGGAUGCAAGCGUUAUCCGGAAUUAUUGGGCGUAAAGCGUCCGCAGGUGGUUUUACAAGUCUGCUGUUAAAGCGUGGAGCUUAACUCCAUAAAGGCAGUGGAAACUGUGAGACUAGAGUUUGGUAGGGGUCGCGGGAAUUCCCAGUGUAGCGGUGAAUUGCCUUCAUAUUGGGAAGAACACCGGUGGCGAAAGCGCUUUACUGGGCCGAGACUGACACCGAGGACGACAGCUA
rnacentral:rRNA from 1 species